UCCUCAAGACGAAUCUAAAAAUGAAUAGUUGUAUCAUUUUAACAGAGAUAUGUCUGUCUUCUAAUCUCUAGAUGCCAGACUGAGAUCUCCUCAUUAGUAACUCUUGGAAAGAUUAUGCAAAGAGCUUUUGACUUCUUCUACUAGGAGAGGAGAAACCAUGGACAAUUAUUUUUUCCUUGGUAAUCUUUCAUUCACUCCUGGAUGAAGAUCAGCUGCAACAGCAUGUAUGAGAGACAUGGCUGCUUCACAUCCUUGUCCAUAUCUUCGCUUAAUGAAGA
ensembl:lincRNA